AUUGAACGCUAGCGGGAUGCUUUACACAUGCAAGUCGAACGGAGUGGCGGACGGGUGAGUAAUAUAUCGGAACGUGCCCAGUAGCGGGGGAUAACUACUCGGAAGAGUGGCUAAUACCGCAUACUCUUGGCACGGCCUGUAUCGGAUUAGCUAGUUGGUGGGGUAAAGGCUCACCAAGGCAACGAUCCGUGGCCGGUUUGAGAGGACGACCAGCCAACCUGGGACUGAGACACGGCCAAGAAUCCUACGGGAGGCAGCAGUGGGGAAUUGUGGACAAUGGGGGAAACUCUGAUCCAGCCAUCCCGAGUGUAUGAUGAAGGCCUUCGGGUUGUAAAGUACUUUUGGCAGAGAAGCGGUAUCUGCAGAAUAAGCACCGGCUAACUACGUGCCAGCAGCCGCGGUAAUUC
rnacentral:rRNA from 1 species